GUCUGAUUGGCGCAGUGGUAGUGACCCUACCUGAUGCGCUGGGGUCGUGGGUUCGAUUCCCGCAUAAGACA
rnacentral:tRNA from 1 species